AGUAUCCAGACUAUGUUGAUGCUUAUCUGAGAGUUGCUGCCAUUGCAAAAGCACGAAACAAUGUUCAAUUAAGCAUCGAACUGGAGAGGACAAUACAGAUUCAAUUCUAAAUACACUCCUUACAUGCUCGAUGAUGUAGUUCCUACUCCUGUCUUGGCUACAUAGUACCAUGACUCUUGAAACAUCUCCUCAAGAACAGCAACAUAUUGAUUCUGAUAAUUACUCUUUGGAUUGUGAUGGGAGCUUUCUGGAUGGGUUCUCUGAUGUUGACAGUUGGUCUGACAAUGAGGAAAUCACAAAUACCGUGUUUGAUGAGGAUAAUAAAUUGUCAUCCUUAAUGAGUAUGGGGUACACAAGAGAUGAGGCUUCAAUAGCAAUGGAGAGAUGUGGACCGUAUCUAUUUUUGAACUUUGCUCUGUACGUAGGGUCCAAGGAAACUGAUGAAAAGGCUACGAGGUUCUGAAGUUGGAUAUCUUGGACUGUUGGACGCCAGAAAAUCACUAUCGAUGGACUGAAUCUAAGUGUUAAACAUUUCUAGGUUUAGACCAUCGAUAAUGAUUUUCUGGAGUCCAACCGUCCAAGCUAUCAAACUUCAAAACCUCGUCAGCCUUUUCAUCAGUUUCGUUGGACCCUACCUCUGAGGUCCACGAAAAUGGAGGUGUAUCAUAAGAAGUCGGGUAGGUGUAUUCAAUCGAUAAGUGGACCAAAUGGGGACUGUAUGCCCGUCAACUACUCCAGCUCAGUACAUGGUCUUCUUCUUCGGGCUCUAUCUGGUUGCUUUGGGGACUGGUGGGAUCAAACCUUGUGUUGAUCAGUACUGCCUUGAUGAUUUAGGAGCUGGCAGAACCAUCGAUAAGAGAUGCAUUUUUUUCUUGCAUUCAACAAGGUGCAGAUCAUGUGAUUGUAAGCCCAUUUUUUCUCUUCCUUGGACGACACUGGCAUCAGGAUAUUCUUUCGUUAGCUGCUGAAGCUGCAAAAGAACACCCUGAUGUGUCAUAUAUUCUUUCUGCUGUUUAUGCCCAGAUGUGUACAAUGUUUGUGGAGCAAGGAAUGAUGAUGGACACAAGCAUUGGUUCUUUCACCAUUCCCGCAGCCUCUCUCUCAUCCUUUGAUGUCAUCAGUUUUAUUUUUUGGGUCCCCAUGUAUGAUAGGGUAAUUAUUCCAAUUGCAAGGAAAUUUUUUGCCAAGGAGCGAGAUUGUAUGACAAGGUUUAUAUUAUGAGAUUUGUAUUACUGGAAAGGUUUGCUCUGUAGAAAUUUGUAUUACAAGAUUUAUAUUAUGAGAUUGUAUGCUGGGCAUUUACAAA